rnacentral:SRP_RNA from 1 species
UCUUGAGACUUGUGCGAUAAGUGCUUGGAAUAAUGCUUCAGGGUGGGAACACAGCAGAGCCUUUUAAGCAUUUAAGUGCCGCAAGUAUCUUAAGGAAG